rnacentral:rRNA from 2 species
GUUGAAAAAUUAGCGGAUGACUUGUGGCUGGGGGUGAAAGGCCAAUCAAACCGGGAGAUAGCUGGUUCUCCCCGAAAGCUAUUUAGGUAGCGCCUCGUGAAUUCAUCUCCGGGGGUAGAGCACUGUUUCGGCAAGGGGGUCAUCCCGACUUACCAACCCGAUGCAAACUGCGAAUACCGGAGAAUGUUAUCACGGGAGACACACGGCGGGUGCUAACGUCCGUCGUGAAGAGGGAAACAACCCAGACCGCCAGCUAAGGUCCCAAAGUCAUGGUUAAGUGGGAAACGAUGUGGGAAGGCCCAGACAGCCAGGAUGUUGGCUUAGAAGCAGCCAUCAUUUAAAGAAAGCGUAAUAGCUCACUGGUCGAGUCGGCCUGCGCGGAAGAUGUAACGGGGCUAAACCAUG